CUAAAAACCUAGUCCUACCCCCCCCCUCCUUUUUACCCCCGAAACUAAAAUAUUUUAAUAAUCGAGUAAAGAAGAUUGAAAGACCUGUCAGAACUAUAAACAAGUACCGCAAGGGAGAGAUGAAAUAGAGAUGAAAUAGCCAUUAAGCACAAAAAAGAAGAGUCAAACCCUCGUACCUUUUGCAUCAUGGUUUAACUAGUAAAACCGAGCAAAAAGAAUUAUAGUUCGACCCCCCGAAACUAAGUGAGCUACUCUGGAACAGCUUAAUGAGCUAACCCGUCUCUGUUGCAAAAGAGUGGGAAGAUUUUAGAGUAGGGGUGAUAUACCUAACGAACUUAGCGAUAGCUGGUUAUUCAGGAAAAGAAUUUUAGUUCAACCUAAAGCCACCAUAAUAUUAAAAAUACAAACUUGGCUUUAGAGCAACUCAAAUAGGUAACAGCCUGUUUGAGGUAGGAAACAACCUCGACCUAUGGGUAAUACAAACCUGUUAGCAACCAAGUAGGCCUAAAAGCAGCCACCUUUAAAAUAGCGUCAAAGCUUUAUUUCAAUAGCAAAUAAAUGUCUUAAACAAAUUAAAACCCUCUCCCAAUACUGGAUAAUUCCAUACACCUAUGGAAGCCCUAAUGUUAAAACUAGUAACAUGAAGUUAAACCUUCUCUUAAAUGUAAACAUAAGUCAGACCGGAUAAUACACUGACAAUUAACAGCUAAACCAAAGUGACAACCCAACUCAAGAAAACCCCACUCAAGUGUCUGUUAACCUAACACAAGAACAUUAAAAGAAAGACUAAAAGAAAAAGAAGGAACUCGGCAAAACUGAUUCCGCCUGUUUACCAAAAACACCGCCUCCUGAGCAAACCUAUAAGAGGUCCAGCCUGCCCAGUGACUAUGUUUAACGGCCGCGGUAUCCUAACCGUGCGAAGGUAGCGUAAUCACCUGUUUUUUAAUUGAAGACCUGUAUGAAAGGCAUCACGAGAAUCACACUGUCUCCUUUCUCUAGUCAGUGAAACUAAUCUACCCGUGAAAAAGCGGGAGUGAGAACACAAGACGAGAAGACCCUUUGGAACUUAAGACAAGAUAAUAACUGCCCCCGAAAAAUAAACCCACACCUAAUAGCAUCUUAUUAAUAAGUCUUCGGUUGGGGCAACCGCGGAGUAAAAAUAAACCUCCAAGCUGAACGGAAACCUCCUAAACAAAAAGCCACAACUUUAUGUAUCAACAAACUGACACCAUUAGACCCAACAUCUUGAUUAACGAACCAAGCUACCCUAGGGAUAACAGCGCAAUCCACUUCAAGAGUCCCUAUCGACAAGUGGGCUUACGACCUCGAUGUUGGAUCAAGGUACCCUGGUGGUGCAGCCGCUACUAAAGGUUCGUUUGUUCAACGAUUAAAACCUCACGCGAUCUGAGUUCAGACCGGAGCAAUCCAGGUCAGUUUCUAUCUGUGAAGGGCUCUUUCCAGUACGAAAGGACAGAAAUAGCACGGCCCAUGUACCCUACACGCCGUACCUAAUAAAUUUUGACUCCCCCUUAAAAAUUAUUACGCUACCCUUGGCCUCAAAAUAAGAGAA
rnacentral:rRNA from 1 species